rfam:Pteropus alecto contig19944, whole genome shotgun sequence.
AUCAUCUCUCGGCCUUUUGGCUAAGAUCAAGUGUAGUAUCUGUUCUUAUCAGUUUAAAUCUGGGUGCUAUUCUCAGUUGUAUUUAGAUUAAAAAAUAUGUCCAUUGAAACAGAUCUAUUGAAACAGAAUUUGCAUUUUGACAAGAUUCCCCAGGUUUUUUAUGUGCACAUUAAAAUUUGGGAAGCACU